UCCCAGGUGGCUCAGUGGUAAAGAAUCUGCCUGCAGUGCAGGAGACACAGGUUUGAUCCCUGGGUUGGGAA
rnacentral:tRNA from 1 species